AAUUAUUAGAGAUUGGUGGCUCUCUAAAUUGAAGUCACAUUAGACGCGUUUCCGUUAGUUUUGGCGCCUUGUGAGUUGUUAGCUACAAUAAUAAAACCUUUCGUCCACGUUUGGCUCUCUAAUCCAAAUUCGUCAUAACCGCUUUUAAUUUCUCACUUCUCAGUUAGCUUUUCAAUUUUCCCGGGAAAAUGUUGGAAAUGAGGGCAUUGGGAUUUUUCUCUUUUUCAAUUCUCAGUUUGGUGCUCUUUUUCAUAUCUGAUCUUGGACAAGCUCACCACUUUUCCCCUCCUCCAACACCUUCUCCUUCUCCUUCCAGUGAUGGUACUGCGAUUGAUCAAGGAAUUGCUUAUUUUCUCAUGCUAGUGGCUCUCGCGAUUACAUACAUGUUUCAUUGAUUUGUAAUCUGCUUCGUCAAUUAUUAUUUAUUUAGUCCACGAACUUUCUUGAUUUUCUUUUACUUAGUUUAAUUAUUUAUUAGUUAAUAUAUAUAAGAUGUCAUUGUUCUAAUUAUUCUUAAGUUAUUGCUAUUAAAAAGAAUAGCUAGCAGUAGGAUUAUAAAUGAUUUCAUA